rnacentral:hammerhead_ribozyme from 1 species
GCGCUGCUGAAGAGUCCCACACCAGGACGAAACGGCCGUUCAGUGC